UCUUACGUGUUUGUUGUGUUGAUGCCUGGUGGAGUAUUCUUCAUUGAAAUAUCGCACUUAUCUUAUGGCUCUGCGGUUCAAACAGACCGUCCAUGAAUGCAGUUUAUUCGUGUGGAUCAAUUGAGACAGCGUGCAGAGACUUUGGGAGAAACCUCAGCAUGACGGAUGUCCUGUCUGUGGGUUUGGCUGGAGAGGACUGAGGUGGAGAGGUCUUUCUUUGGGAGGAGGCCCAGGCCUGAUGAAGAAACCCCCUAACUGCAUCUGUGAGCACAUACUGGGCUCAGCUGUCACAAACAAAUGAUGGUCCUGUUUGACUUUGUGUUCACAAUAAAAGUGUAGUUUCUUAGUGAA